GAAAUAAAAUUAUAAUAAACUUCUAAUUUAUUAAUAAGCAUUAAAUUGUUUUUAUUUCU
rnacentral:tRNA from 1 species